UACGAAGGGUACAAGCGUUACUCGGAAUUACUGGGCGUAAAGCGUGCGUAGGUGGUUUGUUAAGUCUGAUGUGAAAGCCCUGGGCUCAACCUGGGAAUUGCAUUGGAUACUGGCAGGCUAGAGUGCGGUAGAGGAUGGCAGAAUUCCCGGUGUAGCAGUGAAAUGCGUAGAUAUCGGGAGGAACACCAGUGGCGAAGGCGGUUGCCUGGGGCUUUGCUGACGCUGAUGCGCGAAAGCGUGGGGAGCGAUCCGG
rnacentral:rRNA from 1 species